AUGUCGUUUAAUACAUACCCAGAUGCCGUAAUGUCGGAUUCCGAUGAGGACGCUUUUCCUCCAUCUCCUGCCGUAUCACGUAGGAGUUCGGGAAUCCAUUUAAAAUCGGCUUCUUGGGCGUCUUGGCCAACCAAAAAACUGCUGGAACUCCUGACCCAAGAAGGCGUCCCAGUGGAAGUCGGCUUGUCGCGGGCGGAUGCCCUGCAGCUUGCCGACACAGCGCUGGGGGAUCAUCUCCACGCUCCACUCUCUCCAACGUUCACUCCGGAUGCCGCCGCUGCUGGCUCCGCUGCUGCGACGACUACAAAACCCGGCAAAAAGCGCGCUGGUCGGCCUACUACCUCCGGCCCGGGCAAGCGAGCGCGGAAAGCCGGUAAUUUCGGUCCACGGGAUCCUCAUCACCACCCCCAACAAAUCCCCGACGCGGACCUUCGCCAGGUUCUACACACCCUCGCCGAGUCGGUCCAAAGCCUCGGCGCCAGGAUGGAUGCUGUCGAAACACCAGGGCGCAUUCCCGGACGGGUCCAGGCCCACAACCCACCGUUUUCCUUCCAGCUACCAUCUGGCUCGGCUCCUUCCGCCUCCACAGGCUAUGCUCCUGGCAUGUGCUCGGGUACCACGGCUACUGCAGCCCCCGCGGUCGCCCCUUUCGCGUAUUCGCUCGCUACUGCUCUACCAGUCCAGUUCCAGGGUAGGAGCUUUAUUACGCCCGCCGCGGCUACGGUUUCUCAGACCACAAAAAAUAAUAUACUCCAGGGCAGAGACGUUAAUCUCGCGGCAUUAUUGUUACCCUCCCCCGCCAUAGAGCGUCAAUGGGUUGAUUGCGGUGACGUGUCCGUUCUCUUGAAAACGUCAGACCCUAGACUUACGCGCAAUCUCUCUUUUGGCGAGUUCGUCAUUACAUUCGGGAUUUACAGAGACAUUAUGUGCCAAGUUUAUCCGGAUAGGAGGGCAGAACUUGACGCUUACCUUGCUAUUAUCGCCGACCUCAACCAGCGCUACGCCGGAACGCUACUUUAUGAAUAUCAUAAAGCAUUUUCUGCUAAGUCGGCCCAAUGGAUCUCCAUGCUUAAUGUGAGGAUUGAUUGGUCCACUACGGACACCGAGCUUCUGCUCCACCACUUCGGUGGCCAUCAGUCAAUUUCUUGCGCUAUCUGCAGUUCCCACGGGCACACAACGGUGCUAUGCCCCAAGACCGCUACUACCGCCCCCGUCUAUGCCUCUAAAACGCCACCCGUCCAUAGUGAAGUUAACGUAAGACCACCGUGCGAUCGUCUCGGACGGGCUGUCGUUUCUUUCAAUGGGAGGCCUAUCUGUAAUAAUUUUAAUGAAUCUGUCUGUUCUUACUAUCAAUGUAAAUUCUCCCACAUUUGCAGCUUUUGCAGGGACCCGCACCCGAAAACUACCUGCCCCCGCCGCCAAAGGCCGGCAAUUCAAGGGAGGGGCCAUCCCUCCAAGAGAUUUUAA
rnacentral:lncRNA from 1 species